AUUGAACGCUGGCGGCAGGCCUAACACAUGCAAGUCGAGCGGAUGAAGGGAGCUUGCUCCUGGAUUCAGCGGCGGACGGGUGAGUAAUGCCUAGGAAUCUGCCUGGUAGUGGGGGAUAACGUCCGGAAACGGGCGCUAAUACCGCAUACGUCCUGAGGGAGAAAGUGGGGGAUCUUCGGACCUCACGCUAUCAGAUGACCCUAGGCCGGAUUAGCUAGUUGGUGGGGUAAAGGCCUACCAAGGCGACGAUCCGUAACUGGUCUGAGAGGAUGAUCAGUCACACUGGAACUGAGACACGGUCCAGACUCCUACAGGAGGCAGCAGUGGGGAAUAUUGGACAAUGGGCGGAAGCCUGAUCCAGCCAUGCCGCGUGUGUGAAGAAGGUCUUCGGAUUGUAAAGCGCUUUAAGUUGGGAGGAAGGGCAGUAAGUUAAUACCUUGCUGUUUUGACGUUACCAACAGAAUAAGCACCGGCUAACUUCGUG
rnacentral:rRNA from 1 species